ACUCAAAUGAAUUGACGGGGGCCCGCACAAGCAGUGGAGUAUGUGGUUUAAUUCGAAGCAACGCGAAGAACCUUACCAGGUCUUGACAUCCAACUAACGAAGCAGAGAUGCAUCAGGUGCCCUUCGGGGAAAGUUGAGACAGGUGGUGCAUGGUUGUCGUCAGCUCGUGUCGUGAGAUGUUGGGUUAAGUCCCGCAACGAGCGCAACCCUUAUGAUUAGUUGCUACGCAAGAGCACUCUAAUCAGACUGCCGUUGAUAAAACGGAGGAAGGUGGGGAUGACGUCAAAUCAUCAUGCCCUUUAUGAUCUGGGCUACACACGUACUACAAUGGCGCCUAACAGAGGGAAGCAAAGCAGCGAUGCCGAGCAAAUCCCCAAAAGGCGUCCCAGUUCAGAUUGUAGGCUGCAACCCGCCUACAUGAAGUCGGAAUUGCUAGUAAUCGCAGAUCAGCAUGCUGCGGUGAAUACGUUCCCGGGCCUUGUACACACCGCCCGU
rnacentral:rRNA from 1 species